rnacentral:rRNA from 1 species
GACGAACGCUGGCGGCGUGCCUAAUACAUGCAAGUAGAACGCUGAAGGAGGAGCUUGCUUCUCUGGAUGAGUUGCGAACGGGUGAGUAACGCGUAGGUAACCUGCCUGGUAGCGGGGGAUAACUAUUGGAAACGAUAGCUAAUACCGCAUAAUAGUAGAUGUUGCAUGACAUUUGCUUAAAAGGUGCAAUUGCAUCACUACCAGAUGGACCUGCGUUGUAUUAGCUAGUUGGUGGGGUAACGGCUCACCAAGGCGACGAUACAUAGCCGACCUGAGAGGGUGAUCGGCCACACUGGGACUGAGACACGGCCCAGACUCCUACGGGAGGCAGCAGUAGGGAAUCUUCGGCAAGGGACGGAAGUCUGACAGAGCAACGCCGCGUGAGUGAAGAAGGUGUUCGGAUCGUAAAGCGCUGUUGUAAGAGAAGAACGAGUGUGAGAGUGGAAAGGUCACACUGUGACGGUAACUUACAAGAAAGGGACGGCUAACUACGUGC